UGGGGAAUAUUGGACAAUGCACGAAAGUGUGAUCCAGCAAUGCCGCGUGAGUGAAGAAGGCCUUAGGGUUGUAAAGCUCUUUUACCAGGGAUGAUAAUGACAGUACCUGGAGAAUAAGCCCCGGCUAACUCCGUGCCAGCAGCCGCGGUAAUACGGAGGGGGCUAGCGUUGUUCGGAAUUACUGGGCGUAAAGCGCGCGUAGGCGGCUUUUCAAGUCAGAGGUGAAAUCCCGGGGCUUAACCCCGGAACUGCCUUUGAAACUGAAUGGCUAGAAUCUUGGAGAGGUGAGUGGAAUUCCGAGUGUAGAGGUGAAAUUCGUAGAUAUUCGGAAGAACACCAGUGGCGAAGGCGACUCACUGGACAAGUAUUGACGCUGAGGUGCGAAAGCGUGGGGAGCAAACAGGAUUAGAUACCCCCGUAGUCC
rnacentral:rRNA from 1 species